CCCGCCGAGCAACCAGCCCCAAUUAAGGCUUCUCACGCUCUAAGAGGCAAGGGGCUGUGGAUCAAAGGCUCCUGCAUCUGGGAAAGAUACUCCGCUCCUCCGGGAGCCCUGGCGUGGGGGCUGCAAAGAGGCCCAGGACCUCCUGUAUAAAGCAGGCAUCCUCUAACUUGAUAAAUAUGAGACUGGAACAAAAUUAAAAGGAAACAACAUCUGCUGGAAAGAGAAAUUAUUUAUUACUCUAAUUUCUUGCCAACAUUGAACUCUGAGGAAAUCCACUAAACGGAGAAAGCGAGCCAAUCCAGGAUUACAGUUUAGUAAUCCCCUGAAGAAAAAAUGGGGGAACACUAUGAAGAAAAGAUACGAAGAAGGUGGUUCAUGACAGUUGUGAUCCAGUUCUCGAGACCAGCUACUGGGUGAAUGUCAGGACUCUCAGGAACUGAACAGGCCUCGGUGUCAACCAUAUGAUUCUUC